UGGCAUAUGGAGGUUCCCAGGCUAGGGGUCUGAUCGGAGCUGUAGCCGCUAGCCUACACCAUAGCCACAGCACUGCCAGAUUCGUAACCCACUGAGCAAGGCCAGGGAUCGAACCUGCAACCUCAUGGUUCCUAGUUGGAUUCCUUAACCACUGAGCCAUGACGGGAACUCCUCUACACAUUUUUGUAUCCACCUUUUUGGAAACAAAAUCCUGAGUCUGAAAGAAGAGCAGGGACUUGGCUGGUGGGGGGACCAUGGGAGAGACUCAGGACAAGGGAGGUUGGUCGGUGGAUACAGAGGCCACCAGUUUCCCCAAGGCCGGGACUGUGCCUCUUGGGGUCAGACAUGGGGAGAGAGGGGCAGGUGUCAGCCAGGCAAUUGCGGACAGUUUGCCUGACUGCUGAGUUUUGUUAUUUCACCUUUAGUGGAGGCACCUGGGGCAGACAGCCUCACGGGCCCCUUCCAGCUCCCAAACCCUCCCUGCCGCAGCGGGAGCUGUGAGGCCAGGGGCUGGCUCCCCAGGGGUAGGUCUCCCCAGGCCUCUUUCCAGAUUCCGGAUUCCAUCAGCACUGCCUGCCUGAGUGCAGCGCUGGUUCUCCCACCUCCGCAGGCUCCUGCACCUCCCUCCGCCCCUCCCCAAACUUCUCAGCUUGUGAUAACACUCUUUUGUUCUCUCGAGGAUGCCACACCCAAAGGGAGACGGAACGAGGACACCUUUGGGAAAGCGGCACCUCUCUGAUGAAGGUAAGAGGAAGCGGCUGGCCCAGUCCAGUUGCUCCUCAGGUCUUCCAGUUUCCCAAGGGCCCCCUGCCCAGGAUGGGAGUUUCUGGGCUUGACUUCCUGACAGGCACAGGGAGGGGGCGGGGGAGCUGAGGAGGGGGGUGAAGGCCCUUGGCUCAUAAAUCUUCAUCUGGGGGAUUCAUUAGGGCUUUUUCCAAGGACUCCUCCAGGGAGGAGGUACAUGUCUUCCAAGGACACAUGAUCAGGUCCAAACUCAGCCUGGCAUCCAGGAUUCGGCAGAGUCUUGCCUGGGCCUCCCUUGUCAACCCCUCUUCUGCUCUUCUUCCCAGACCCACUGAGCUCUAGCUACGUGGCGCUAUUACCAUUUCCCUGGACAUUUAUGGAUGUUUACGGCUCUGUAGCUAUUUUGCAUAUUCUGUUUCCUCUGCCUGGAAGGCCCAUGGCUGCUUCGCUUCUUAACGAACUCCUAUUCAUCCUUCAAGACCCUACUCAAAAGUCGCCUGCCUCUUCAAAGCUUACUUGACUCCAUAGACAGGGUUGCUUGCUCUGUGCUCCCAGGCAAAGGGUUCUUUCCCCGGCUCCUCACUCAAUAGGGGAAUUGUUAGGAUUUGCAUGUUUAUCUUCCUUCUCAUUGCUCUCCUAGGGCAGGGGCUGUGUCAUUCACCUUUGCCAACCUGUGCCAGGCCCUCAUAAUUCCUUGGGCAAUAUUUGUGUAAGAAUGAACACCAUUUCUGCUGGAUCUGUGGUAUUUUUGAGUAACAGUAAGAGACUACUUCUGUUACCUUGGAUAUUUCCUGGCCCACAGUGCCGUCUCUCCAGACAAGAGACAUGUGUUUUUACCAUCAUAAGAUGAGAGGCUGAGAUGCCAAGAGAUGACGCAACACUGUGUUCAGGGUUUCAGUACAUGCAUGGCAAAGCUGGGGCUUGAACCCAGGUGAUCUUGCUGGAAGAGCCAUGAGAUCGCUGCCUACAUCAGAGAUUCUCGAUAGUGGGUCUUUGAAUCAGCAGAUCGGCACCACCACCUGGGAACUUGUUAGACUUGCAAAGUACUGGGCCCCACCCCACACCUACUGAAUCAGAAACUUCUAGGGUGGGCCCAGCAAUCCACGUUUUAACCGUAGGCAGGUGAUUCUGUUACCUGCUCCAGUUUAAGAACCAGGCCGACAUUGUAGCUAUGCCAUGGCUGCCCAGAGCCAGAGGAGGGCGCUCCAAGGCAAACUUUUACUCCACUACGGUCAUGGCAGCUGGGGUGGAAGGAAGCCUAGCAGGCUGGGUAGAAGGGAAGCAGACGCAUGGACUGGGAGUUAAGGGCCAGAGUUCUAGUCCCGUGGGUUCUGCAGUUAUUUAAUGGUGACGUCGAGCCCCUCUCCAGGCCUCAGUUUUCUCAUCUGUAAAAUGAAGAUGUUGUCUAAAUGAUCUCAUCUCUAAUUUCCCUUUGCCUCCUGUUACUCAGCUCUCCUUUGGGCCAUAUGUUGGCUCUGCCAGGAAUGGAAUGAAAACAGUGUACGUGUGCUCAUUUUUAGUGGAUUUUUCCCAACCUUGGAAAUCGAUCAUUUCUAAAUUCCAAACCCUUGGACCCGCUAUCCUCUGCCGUCUUCUUCCUUUGGGGUAGGAAGUGGAAGCAAACAUUGGAGUCGACUCCUGAAAUGUAUUAGGCAAAAAAUGGAAACCCAUUUGACGUUAUUGGUUUGGACCCCCUUCUGUUGCCUGAGGCUCCUCACUUGGGCUUCUCCCUGACCCCUCUCCUGUCACCUGCUUCCCCAUGGUGACUGUACCAGAUUCUCUCACUCUCAGGCCAUCUCCCUGUCCUCUCUGUGAGCUUCUGUGCCUUCCUUGCCCCCUCCUCCAUGGGGUUGUCCAUUCGCAGGCUCUUGCUUCCUUACUGUCCUUCGGGAAGGGUGAGGGGUGAUGUGUAAUGGUGACUUUCUAGGCACACCAGGGACUCGGUGGCCUCAUGGGGAAGUCCCUUGGACACACGGAAGCCCGAUCCUACUGUUUCCAUGUGGACUCGAGGUCUCUCCCAGGAACGCACCUAAUAGUGGGGUGGGACUGUGCCCACUGGGUACCUGCUGGGCCCCGGCAUUUAACUGGCAGCUGGAAAAACCUCCUGUGUACAGCAGACUGAAAAGAAGGAAGAAUGCCUCUUGCCCCUUUGAAAUGUUGGUGAAAAUUCAAGACAAGUAAUUGCAUUGUAGAAGUAGAACCCUGGAUCAGAAAGGUGGGUAGAAGAAUUUUUAUCACCUAGGACCUGGGUGUCAGCAGGAGACCAUGGCUGAGCUCUCACAUCCCAAGGGUCUGCAAGAAUGUGGGCGAUUCUAGAAGCCGGUCAGAGUACAUGUUGUCUUCAGCAGAAACACAUGUGCCAGCUACACAGCUGGAGGGUCUGUCAUAUCAGCAUCAGACUUUCAGCACGAGGUUUCCAGAGUCCAGGAAAAAAAGCCUUAAAACUGCAGGAUAGCACCUGUUGCUGGCAGCCCUCAGGUUAAAAGCUGAAGAAGGUGGUUAUGAAAACAAGGCCCCAGGAAGGGCAGGAGCCAAUGUUGAUUUUUCAUCAGCUAAAGCUCCCCGAGGCUGCACUUCUCAGCUGCAGGGGACCCAGGGACGCUGGCCACCUCUUGGCCUGAGCAUCAGUGGAACCACAUGUUAAUAAGGAAUGUGGGGGGAGUUCCCUCUGUGGCACAGCAGUAAGGAUCCAAAUGCAGUGGCUCAGGUCACUGUGGAGGCACGGUUUGAUCCACAGUGGAUUAAGGAUUUGGUGUUGCCAUGGCUGUGGCAUAGGUCACAGCUGUGGCUUGGAUUCAGUCUCUGGCCUGGGAACUUCCAUAUGCUGUGGCUGUGGCCACAAAACCCCUCCCCCAAAACCAAAAAAAAAAACCCCAGAAGAAUGUGUGUAGUCCAAACUUAUCAAACUGUGUAUCUCAAAUAUCUUCAAUUUGUUGUAUAUCAAUCAUACCUCAGUAAAAUGGUUUUUU
ensembl:lncRNA